rnacentral:lncRNA from 1 species
GUCAGAGUGACCUCGCUGGGGCGAUCCAGUUACCCGGAGUUCAAGUUCGAUCCAUUAGGUUCUUUUUUUUUCAGAAAAGAAACGAGAGACAAGAAAACAUCUUUGAUUACGAUUAAAAGGAACAAUCUCAAAUAGACCAAGAUCCAAUUUCGGGUCAUUUCUUGGUGAACAUGAUCAAGAGAUAAGAAAACAUCUUUGAUUACGAUUAAAAGGAACAAUCUCAAAUAUACCAAGAUCUAACUUUGGGUAAUUUCUUGGUGAACAUGAUCUGCCAUAAUCUCUUCGAUCCCUUCAUUUAUGUGCCAGAAUAGAGAGAGAUUUGGUAGGAAAGUGGAAGAGACC